CACGUAGGGCGCGAGCGUUGUCCGGAAUUAUUGGGCGUAAAGAGCUCGUAGGCGGCCUGUUGCGUCCGCUGUGAAAGCCCGGGGCUUAACCCCGGGUCUGCAGUGGAUACGGGCAGGCUAGAGGUAGGUAGGGAGAAUGGAAUUCCCGGUGUAGCGGUGAAAUGCGCAGAUAUCGGGAGGAACACCGGUGGCGAAGGCGGUUCUCUGGGCCUUACCUGACGCUGAGGAGCGAAAGCGUGGGGAGCGAACAGG
rnacentral:rRNA from 1 species